rnacentral:rRNA from 1 species
GACGAACGCUGGCGGCGUGCUUAACACAUGCAAGUCGAACGGAAAGGCCCUGCUUUUGUGGGGUGCUCGAGUGGCGAACGGGUGAGUAACACGUGAGUAACCUGCCCUUGACUUUGGGAUAACUUCAGGAAACUGGGGCUAAUACCGGAUAGGAGCUCCUGCUGCAUGGUGGGGGUUGGAACGUUUCGGCGGUUGGGGAUGGACUCGCGGCUUAUCAGCUUGUUGGUGGGGUAGUGGCUUACCAAGCCAUUGACGGGUAGCCGGCCUGAGAGGGUGACCGGCCACAUUGGGACUGAGAUACGGCCCAGAGGCCUACGGGAGGCAGCAGUGGGGAAUAUUGCACAAUGGGCGGAAGCCUGAUGCAGCAACGCCGCGUGCGGGAUGACGGCCUUCGGGUUGUAAACCGCUUUCGCCUGUGACGAAGCGUGAGUGACGGUAAUGGGUAAAGAAGCACCGGCUAACUACGUG